rnacentral:rRNA from 1 species
AACGAACGCUGGCGGCAGGCUUAACACAUGCAAGUCGAACGCAUCCUUCGGGGCGAGUGGCAGACGGGUGAGUAACGCGUGGGAACGUGCCCUUCAGUUCGGGAUAACCCAGGGAAACUUGGGCUAAUACCGGAUACGUGCGAGAGCAGAAAGAUUUAUCGCUGAAGGAUCGGCCCCCGUCUGAUUAGCUAGUUGGUGGGGUACUGGCCCACCAAGGGGACGAUCAGUAUCUGGUCUGAGACGAUGAUCAGCCACAUUGGGACUGAGACACGGCCCAAACUCCUACGGGAGGCAGAAGUGGGGAAUAAUGGACAAUGGGCGCAAGCCCGAUCCAGCCAUGCCGCGUGAGUGAUGAAGGCCUUAGGGUUGUAAAGCUCUUUCGUCCGGGACGAUAAUGACGGUACCGGAAGAAGAAGCCCCGGCUAACUUCGUGCCAGCCGCCGCAGUAA